rnacentral:misc_RNA from 1 species
AAUUUGUGAUCUUUUAAAGAGAAGUCCAUAAUUAUAUUAUCUAUCUGUCUUUUAACAUUCAGAAAAAGUUGUAAUAUCAAUUACUUUAGUAGUUGGAGGUUUAUGAACCUUAGCAUGGUUUAGCGCUCUUAAGUUUCUGAAACUAAACUGUUGUUGGUCAUGUUGGGAUCUUAAGGGCAGCUUGUGACAUUUCCAUCAUCAGCAUUGAGUGUCUGACAGCGUUAAAGUUAAGAUAAUAUGUGAAUUCUAUAAUUCCAAAGUAGAGGAACUUUGGUUUGGGUUCUCAUUUGUAGG